UCAUUCAUAAGGGAGCGGCGCAAAGCUUCUGUCGUUGGCAGUGUGUUCUGAGAGAUGCCAUACAACUUAACGUUGUUUUGCGUGAGCCAGUAAAGACACCGCGUAUCCACGAGACUUUUAAUGGACCACUGGCGCAUAAGUUCCUUAAAGAGUUGAAACGAGGCAUCAUACUGAGGGAUCUUAUUCCUAGUGAGCAGUUCGAGCGCUUAGAAAAACUUUAUCAUGCAGCAACCGAUGGCUCAUUAGAAGAGGCUUCCCACCAAAAUGCCGCGUCAUCUGCCAACAGUCUGUUCUCGACAAAUCCUUUUGCUCCUUUAUGCGUAAGCGAGGACGAGGACGAGGACGAGGACGAGGACGAGGACGAGGACGAGGACGAGGACGAGGAAGAGGACGAGGACCAGGACGAGGACGAGGACGAGGACGAGGAUGAGGACUAGGACGAGGACGAGGACGAGGACGGGGACUAGAACUAAGCCAAGAACAAUGGAAGUUAUACUAAAGUUUGAGUCUCUACAAGACCUUUCCAAUCUAUGUAACGUAUAAUAUGUAAACAUUGCGUAUUUCUUUUAGGGUUUUAUGACAACCCUUGUUUUAAGUGUUUAUUGUAACUGAAUAUUAACUAUAGUAGAUGUAAUAUUGUAAUAGAUAAUUAAGGUAUAUUCCUAAUUAGAAUUUUCGCAUAGAGGGGAUAUCCGUUUCUUGGCAAAUGAUACUGAAGCCUGCUUAGUUUUAUUUUUCACAUCGCAAGUAGUUGUUGGUUUAAUUCUAAGAUUCAUUGAGGAAGAUUUUAAAAGUACAUGUACCUUACUUAUCUUUUCAUUCAACAAACUGAACGCAUAAUUAUUUUUUCAAUUCAUUUAUGACUAAAGGGUUCAGUUCUUUGCUGUAUUGUUUGCUUUACUUUUAAGUCACCUUAUUAUAACAAAGGGCGGAAGUUUCUUAAGAACUGUGUUGCUGCGUCGAUGGGGGAGUACCACAAGGUAAUUUUGGUUUUAUCAACUGAGUUAAUAAUAUAGAUUAGCCUUCGUAAAGAGUUUCAAAGCUGACGUUUCGAGCGUUAGUCCAUUAUCAGAGCGAAAGAUGAUGGGCUAACGUCAGCUUUGAAAUUAUUUAAGGUCGCCAUUUUAUAUUAUCACCUCUGUUAAUAAAACCAAAAUUAUCUUUCUAUCAUAAGUUAGCUAAGGACAGUAAAUUCAGUUCAGUUUCAUAUGAGGUGAAAAGUUGAUGAAAAGUAAGGCUUACUGGAGUUAUUGUACUGUUUCCUUUACCGAUUGCUGCUUUUUGAUUUAAGAGAAAAAAAUCUCACUCCCUCACUCCAUUACCGGGCGAGGAAGCUGAGAAAAAAAAAAAACAAAAAAAAAAAAAA